AGAGUUUGAUCCUGGCUCAGGAUGAACGCUGGCGGCGUGCCUAAUACAUGCAAGUCGAACGCACAGCGAAAGGUGCUUGCACCUUUCAAGUGAGUGGCGAACGGGUGAGUAACACGUGGACAACCUGCCUCAAGGCUGGGGAUAACAUUUGGAAACAGAUGCUAAUACCGAAUAAAACUUAGUGUCGCAUGACACAAAGUUAAAAGGCGCUUCGGCGUCACCUAGAGAUGGAUCCGCGGUGCAUUAGUUAGUUGGUGGGGUAAAGGCCUACCAAGACAAUGAUGCAUAGCCGAGUUGAGAGACUGAUCGGCCACAUUGGGACUGAGACACGGCCCAAACUCCUACGGGAGGCUGCAGUAGGGAAUCUUCCACAAUGGGCGAAAGCCUGAUGGAGCAACGCCGCGUGUGUGAUGAAGGCUUUCGGGUCGUAAAGCACUGUUGUAUGGGAAGAACAGCUAGAAUAGGAAAUGAUUUUAGUUUGACGGUACCAUACCAGAAAGGGACGGCUAAAUACGUGCCAGCAGCCGCGGUAAUACGUAUGUCCCGAGCGUUAUCCGGAUUUAUUGGGCGUAAAGCGAGCGCAGACGGUUUAUUAAGUCUGAUGUGAAAGCCCGGAGCUCAACUCCGGAAU
rnacentral:rRNA from 1 species